rnacentral:rRNA from 1 species
UGGGGAAUCUUGCGCAAUGGGCGGAAGCCUGACGCAGCAACGCCGCGUGAGCGAAGAAGGCCUUCGGGUUGUAAAGCUCUGUCAGGAGGGACGAAGCCACUCGGGUGAAUAGCCCAGAGGGUGACGGUACCUCCAGAGGAAGCCCCGGCUAACUACGUGCCAGCAGCCGCGGUAAUACGUAGGGGGCUAGCGUUGUCCGGAAUUAUUGGGCGUAAAGCGCGUGUAGGCGGCUUGUUAAGUCCGGUGUGAAACCUCGGUGGCUCAACCCCGAGCGUGCACUGGAAACUGGCUUGCUAGAGUCCGGAAGAGGAGAUUGGAAUUCCUGGUGUAGCGGUGAAAUGCGCAGAUAUCAGGAAGAACACCCGUGGCGAAGGCGGAUCUCUGGGACGGUACUGACGCUGAGACGCGAAAGCGUGGGGAGCAAACAGGAUUAGAUACCCUGGUAGUCCACGCCGUAAACGAUGGGCACUAGGUGUGGGAGGUGUCGACUCCUUCCGUGCCGUAGCUAACGCAUUAAGUGCCCCGCCUGGGGAGUACGGCCGCAAGGCUA